rnacentral:rRNA from 1 species
AACGAACGCUGGCGGCAUGCCUAACACAUGCAAGUCGAACGAACCCUUCGGGGUUAGUGGCGCACGGGUGCGUAACGCGUGGGGAUCUGCCCUUUGCUUCGGAAUAACAGUUAGAAAUGACUGCUAAUACCGGAUGACGUCGAAAGACCAAAGAUUUAUCGGCAAAGGAUGAACCCGCGUAGGAUUAGCUAGUUGGUGGGGUAAAGGCCUACCAAGGCGACGAUCCUUAGCUGGUCUGAGAGGAUGAUCAGCCACACUGGGACUGAGACACGGCCCAGACUCCUACGGGAGGCAGCAGUGGGGAAUAUUGGACAAUGGGCGAAAGCCUGAUCCAGCAAUGCCGCGUGAGUGAUGAAGGCCUUAGGGUUGUAAAGCUCUUUACCAGGGAUGAUAAUGACAGUACCUGGAGAAUAAGCUCCGGCUAACUCCGUGCCAGCAGCCGCCGUAAUAC